AUUUAAAUUAUUAUAUUAAUUAAUUUUUUUUUAAAAUAUUAUAAAAUUUUAGUAAUCUUAAUGAAAAAAUUGUUAAAAUUAUAGUUAAAAGUAUAGUGAUAGAAAUUUAAAAUAAUUUAAAAUUUUUAAAAGAAUAAUUAAUUUUUAGUACCUUGUGUAUCAGGGUUAAUCAAAAAUUAAUUAAUAAAUUUAAUUUUCUCGAAUUUAAAAGAGUUAAAAAAUUAUAUUUUUUAUUGUAAAAUAAAUAUUAAAAAUAAUUUUUUAGUAAUGAAACGUUAUUCGUUUUUAAAUAUAUCUAGUUUUUUAAGAAAUAAAUUAAAUUUAUUAAUUAAUUAAGUUUUUUUAUUAAUAAAUAAAAAAAAAUUAGUUAAAAAUAUUUUAAGGGAUAAGCUUUAAAAUAAAUAUAUAUAAAUUUUUAAAAUUUAAUUAAAUAAAAGUAGAAUUAAAAAUUUUUAUCAGUUAUAAUUUGUUAUAAUUAAUAUUUUUUAUUAAAUUAUUUUUAUAAUUUUUAUUUUUUAUAUUAAAAUUAUUAAUAAAAUUUUAAAAUUAAUGAAAUAAUGAUUAAAUUAGUAUAAAAAAAAUGUAAUAUUAAAUUUUAAUUUUAGAUUAAGUUAAGGAAUUCGGCAAAUUAAUUUUUCGCCUGUUUAAUAAAAACAUGUCUUUUUGUUUAAAAUUUAAAGUCUAACCUGCCCAAUGAUUAUAAUUUAAUGGCUGCGGUAUUUUGACCGUACAAAGGUAGCAUAAUCAUUAGUUUUUUGAUUGAAAACUUGUAUGAAUGGUUGAACGAGAAAAUUACUGUCUCAAUUUAAAUUUAUUAGAAAUUUAUUUUUAAGUUAAAAAGCUUAAAUGUUAUUAAAAGACGAGAAGACCCUAUAGAGUUUAAUAUUUAUUAAAUAUAAUUUUUUAGAAUUAAUUUUUAUUUUAUAAAUAUUUUAUUGGGGUGAUAAAUAAAUUUAAUUAACUUUAUUUUUUUAAUAACAUAAAUUUAUGAAUAAAUGAUCCAAUUAUUUUGAUUAAAAGAUAAAAUUACCUUAGGGAUAACAGCGUAAUUUUUUUGAAGAGUUCUUAUCGAUAAAAAAGAUUGCGACCUCGAUGUUGGAUUAAAAUUAAUUUUUGGUGUAGAAGCUAAAAAUAUUAAGUCUGUUCGACUUUUAAUUUUUUACAUGAUCUGAGUUUAAAUCGGUGUGAGCCAGAUUGGUUUCUAUCUUUAAUUAAAAAAUAUAUUUUAGUACGAAAGGACCAAAUAUUAAUAAAAUUUAUUUUAUUUUGAAUAAUAUU
rnacentral:rRNA from 1 species